rnacentral:lncRNA from 1 species
CGUAGUGUUGGUAUUUAUGACAUGCUGUAAUGUGUUUUUCUUUUAAUGAAAUUUUUAUUUUGCGUUCAUACUCGAACUGUCCUUUCUUUAUCAUAAAUGAAGUACUUAGAUUGCUUGCUCCGUAACUUUUCCCGAAGGAUCUGCUGUAUUGCUUUCUCCUUCUUGCCCCUUUAAUCGUUCAGAGCUAGAGUUCAUUCAGUCAACUGAGCUUUUGACUUACUUUUUUCCGAGCUAGACUAGUCGUACUCGUGAGCUCUAUCGUAAUGAUGGACAAGGUUGAUCUUUCUGCCUUUAGCCUUGUUUUGACAGGAAUUGGAGCUGAGGUUUUAUCUGUUCCUGCAGUCGUACUCGUGAGCUCUGUUGUAAUGAUGGACAAGGUUGAUCUUUCUGCCUUUAGCCUUGUUUUGACAGGAAUUGGAGCUGAGGUUUUAUCUGUUCCUGUCGCUAAAUGUUCCUCGGGUUGCCCCCUUUACUGCCUCAAUGUUUAUUACAUAAAGAUUGAGGGAGUAAAU